rnacentral:rRNA from 1 species
UGGGGAAUAUUGGACAAUGGGCGAAAGCCUGAUCCAGCCAUGCCGCGUGUGUGAAGAAGGUCUUCGGAUUGUAAAGCACUUUAAGUUGGGAGGAAGGGCAUUAACCUAAUACGUUAGUGUUUUGACGUUACCGACAGAAUAAGCACCGGCUAACUCUGUGCCAGCAGCCGCGGUAAUACAGAGGGUGCAAGCGUUAAUCGGAAUUACUGGGCGUAAAGCGCGCGUAGGUGGUUUGUUAAGUUGGAUGUGAAAUCCCCGGGCUCAACCUGGGAACUGCAUUCAAAACUGACUGACUAGAGUAUGGUAGAGGGUGGUGGAAUUUCCUGUGUAGCGGUGAAAUGCGUAGAUAUAGGAAGGAACACCAGUGACGAAGGCGACCACCUGGACUAAUACUGACACUGAGGUGCGAAAGCGUGGGGAGCAAACA